rnacentral:rRNA from 1 species
CAGGACUAACGCUGGCGGCGUGCCUAGCACAUGCAAGUCGGACGAUUCAUCUUUGUAGCAAUAUAGAAGAUGGGGGAGUGGCGCACGGGUGAGUAACACAUAGAUAAUCUGCCUUUCAGACAGGGACAACUCAGGGAAACUUGAGCUAAUACCGGAUGAGACCACAUGAAGGGAUUCACGUGACCAAAGGGGGAGCAAUCUCCCGCUGGAAGGUGAGUCUAUGUCCUAUCAGCUAGUUGGUGGGGUAAAGGCCUACCAAGGCGAAGACGGGUAGCCGGCCUGAGAGGGUGAACGGCCACACUGGAACUGAGACACGGUCCAGACUCCUACGGGAGGCAGCAGUGAGGAAUUUUCCGCAAUGGGCGCAAGCCUGACGGAGCGACGCCGCGUGAGGGAUGAAGGUUUUCGGAUCGUAAACCUCUUUUAUCAAGGAGAAAGGUCUUGAUGCUCAUACCAUCAAGAUUUGAUAGUACUUAAUGAAUAAGCCCCGGCUAACUACGUGCCAGCCGCAGC